CCUACGGGAGGCAGCAGUGAGGAAUAUUGGUCAAUGGACGAGAGUCUGAACCAGCCAAGUAGCGUGAAGGAUGACUGCCCUAUGGGUUGUAAACUUCUUUUAUAUGGGAAUAAAAUGUUCCACGUGUGGGAUUUUGUAUGUACCAUAUUAAUAAGGAUCGGCUAACUCCGUGCCAGCAGCCGCGGUAAUACGGAGGAUCCGAGCGUUAUCCGGAUUUAUUGGGUUUAAAGGGAGCGUAGGUGGAUUGUUAAGUCAGUUGUGAAAGUUUGCGGCUCAACCGUAAAAUUGCAGUUGAAACUGGCAGUCUUGAGUACAGUAGAGGUGGGCGGAAUUCGUGGUGUAGCGGUGAAAUGCUUAGAUAUCACGAAGAACUCCGAUUGCGAAGGCAGUUCACUGGACUGCAACUGACACUGAGGCUCGAAAGUGUGGGUAUCAAACAGGAUUAGAUACCCGAGUAGUC
rnacentral:rRNA from 1 species